rnacentral:rRNA from 1 species
UACAGGGGGCGCGAGCGUUGCUCGGAAUCACUGGGCGUAAAGCGUACGCAGGCGGGUCGAUAAGUCCGUUGUGAAAUCCCAGGGCUCAACCCUGGAACUGCAGUGGAGACUGUCGAUCUUGAGUACGGGAGAGGAGAGCGGAAUUCCUGGUGUAGAGGUGAAAUUCGUAGAUAUCAGGAGGAACACCGGUGGCGAAAGCGGCUGCUCUGGCCCGAUACUGACCGCUCAUGUACGAAAGCGUGGGGAGCGAAACAACGGUUGAGAA